ACAACCAUAUCACAUUGAAACACCAGUUCUCAUACAAUCAUUGAAGUUAAGCAAAGUUGUGCCUAAUCAGCACCUAGAUGGGUGACUGCAUGGGAAUACCAAAUACUGUAA